GCCUUCGUGGUGUAACGGUUAGCACACUCGGGGCGUAUUCGAGAGAUCUAGGUUCGAGUCCCGGAGAGGGCA
rnacentral:tRNA from 1 species